rnacentral:rRNA from 1 species
GACGGAAGGUGCCAAGCGUUGCUCGGAAUCACUGGGCGUAAAAGGGUGCGUAGGCGGCCGUGUAAGUCUGGCGUGAAAGCCCCGGGCUCAGCCCCGGGAAGUGCGCUCGAAACUGCGCGGCUCGAGUGCCGGAGGGGGAGAGUGGAAUUCCUGGUGUAGCGGUGAAAAUGCGUAGAUAUCAGGAGGAAAUACCGGUGGCG